rnacentral:rRNA from 1 species
UACGUAGGGUGCGAGCGUUGUCCGGAAUUAUUGGGCGUAAAGAGCUUGUAGGCGGUCUGUCGCGUCUGGUGUGAAAACUCAGGGCUUAACCCUGAGCUUGCAUCGGGUACGGGCAGACUAGAGUGUGCUAGGGGAGACUGGAAUUCCUGGUGUAGCGGUGAAAUGCGCAGAUAUCAGGAGGAACACCGGUGGCGAAGGCGGAUCUCUGGGCCAUUACUGACGCUGAGGAGCGAAAGCGUGGGGAGCGAACAGG